CCAAAUUUGUCAUUUCAUUCAAUCUGAAUUGAUAAUUUAUGAGAACAGUUGUAACUACCUGCAUUUACUGGGUUAAUGAAUGACGGAGUACUAUUUUAUAAGAGAUUGUCUGAAUUUGAUGCUGUGCGAUAGGAAUAGUCCGGUCAAUACGAUUGACCGGACUAUUUAUUAUUUAA
rnacentral:misc_RNA from 1 species